UAAUACCGCAUACGAUCUAAGGAUGAAAGCGGGGGAUCGUAAGACCUCGCGCGAUUGGAGCGGCCGAUAUCAGAUUAGGUAGUUGGUGGGGUAAAGGCUCACCAAGCCAACGAUCUGUAGCUGGUCUGAGAGGACGACCAGCCACACUGGAACUGAGACACGGUCCAGACUCCUACGGGAGGCAGCAGUGGGGAAUUUUGGACAAUGGACGCAAGUCUGAUCCAGCCAUUCCGCGUGCAGGACGAAGGCCUUCGGGUUGUAAACUGCUUUUGUACGGAACGAAAAAGCUCUUAUUAAUACUAGGAGUCCAUGACGGUACCGUAAGAAUAAGCACCGGCUAACUACGUGCCAGCAGCCGCGGUAAUACGUAGGGUGCAAGCGUUAAUCGGAAUUACUGGGCGUAAAGCGUGCGCAGGCGGUUAUAUAAGACAGAUGUGAAAUCCCCGAGCUUAACUUGGGAACUGCAUUUGUGACUGUAUAGCUAGAGUACGGCAGAGGGGGAUGGAAUUCC
rnacentral:rRNA from 1 species